GAUGAACGCUGGCGGCGUGCCUAAUACAUGCAAGUCAAGCGAACAGACGAGGAGCUUGCUCCUCUGACGUUAGCGGCGGACGGGUGAGUAACACGUGGAUAACCUACCUAUAAGACUGGGAUAACUUCGGGAAACCGGAGCUAAUACCGGAUAAUAUAUUGAACCGCAUGGUUCAAUAGUGAAAGACGGUUUUGCUGUCACUUAUAGAUGGAUCCGCGCCGCAUUAGCUAGUUGGUAAGGUAACGGCUUACCAAGGCAACGAUGCGUAGCCGACCUGAGAGGGUGAUCGGCCACACUGGAACUGAGACACGGUCCAGACUCCUACGGGAGGCAGCAGUAGGGAAUCUUCCGCAAUGGGCGAAAGCCUGACGGAGCAACGCCGCGCGAGUGAUGAAGGUCUUCGGAUCGUAAAACUCUGUUAUUAGGGAAGAACAAAUGUGUAAGUAACUAUGCACGUCUUGACGGUACCUAAUCAGAAAGCCACGGCUAACUACGUG
rnacentral:rRNA from 1 species